rnacentral:tRNA from 1 species
GAGGGAAUAGCUCAGUGGUAGAGCACAUGCUUAGCAUGCACAAGGUCCUGGGUUCAAUUCCCAGUACCUCCA